AGCUCCCUUUUAUAUGCGUGAUGUCUCUGAGACGUUUUGAGCCAACACCAGACCCAGGGGAGCCGGGUCAUACUCUGGUGAACGCGAUAGCCCUCGACUGGCAAGGCGGAAUCCAGGUCUAGGCUCCCACCUGCUAACGCAGGUUCAAAACAACCCGGACACACGGUAUGGAGGGGGGACU
rnacentral:other from 1 species